UACGAAGGGGGCGAGCGUUGUUCGGAUUUACUGGGCGUAAAGGGCGCGCAGGCGGCGAUCUUUGUCAGGCGUGAAAGCCCCGGGCUUAACCUGGGAACUGCGCUUGGGACGGGAUUGCUGGAGACCGGGAGAGGAGAGUGGAAUUUCGUGUGUAGGGGUGAAAUCCGUAAAUAUACGAAGGAACGCCAAAAGCGAAGGCAGCUCUCUGGGUCCCUACCGACGCUGGGGUGCGAAAGCAUGGGGAGCGAACAGG
rnacentral:rRNA from 1 species